GCCCUAGUAGCUCAAUUGGAUAGAGCAUCCCCCUCCUAAGGGGAAGGUUGCAGGUUCAAUUCCUGCCUAGGGUA
rnacentral:tRNA from 1 species